rnacentral:pre_miRNA from 1 species
UACCCUCCACAGCCUGGAUGGCCCCCAGACUGGGCUGGGUAAGUAUCUCCUCGAAAGGCUCACCCUCAAUCAUGGCUAGGAGC